AUUGAACGCUGGCGGCAGGCCUAACACAUGCAAGUCGAACGAGUGGCGGACGGGUGAGUAAUGUCUGGGAAACUGCCUGAUGGAGGGGGAUAACUAAUGGAAACGGUAGCUAAUACCGCAUACCAUCGGAUGUGCCAAGAUGGGAUUAGCGAGUAGGUGGGGUAAAGGCACACCUAGGCGACGAUCCCUAGCUGGUCUGAGAGGAUGACGAGAAAAGCUGGAACUGAGACACGGUCCAGAGGAGGAAGGGGGGAAGAGGGGGGGGGGGGGGGGCGGGGGGCGCAAGCCUGAGGCGUCCAUGCCGCGUGUAUGAAAGGGCGGUUCGGGUGGGGGAGUACUUUCAGCGGGGAGGCGUUACCCGCAGAAGAAGCACCGGCUAACUCCGUGCCAGCAGCCGCGGUAAUUC
rnacentral:rRNA from 1 species